GAAAAAGGGACUUUUUUUUGUUGCUGAGUUUAUUUAUAUAAAUCAUGUAAUGUAGUCUUCGUUUUUCAUCUGCUAGCCAAGUUACAUAGCCUGUAAUGUUAGCUGAUAAUUGUUGUAUAAUUGUUGCUAUGAUUUAGCUAACGCUAGCUAGUUAAAGUUACUGUAACGUAUAGUAUGUCCUCAUUUAAACCCAUGAUACAGUCUCUCGCCAUCUCCUUCCAGCCUCCUCUCUUUAAGACCUGUCUUAUCAUGGGCCUGUCCAGUUAAGUUGUAGAGAGUGUGGGUGCUGUGAGAAACUCAGCCUCCACAAACAGGUAUGACACACACACAAUACACACACUCAGCCCACACACUCUGGUUGAAUCAACAUUGUUGAACCAAUGUGGAAUAUAUGUUGAAUUGACAUACUGUAUGUGCCCAGUGGGACAGAUAGAAAGAGAGAUGACCCAAUCUAGGUUGUUAAAACUUGACAAAAACAUUUUUUUUUAUAGAUGUUUGUCACGUCCUAACCAUAGAGAGAUUGUAUUUUUCUAUGGUAGAGUAGGUCAGGGUGUGACUGGGGGGUUUUGUCUAGUUUAUUUAUUUAUAUGUUUGAUUCUAGUUUCUUUUUUCUAUGUUGCGGUUUUUGUCUAGUUUAAAUUUUCUAUGUUGUGUUCUAGGUUCUUUUUUCUAUGUUUUUUUUGUCUGAUUCCCAAUUAGAGGCAGCUGGUCAUCGUUGUCUCUAAUUGGGGAUCAUAUUUAAGUUGUUGUUUUUCCCACUAGUGUUUGUGGGAGAUUAUUUUGAGUUUAUGCAUGUAGCACCGCUUCGUCACAGUUUGUUGUUUUUGUUUAUAGUUUAUUGUCUGUCUUGCAUAGUUUCACAUAGAAAUAAAGAUGUGGAACGAUACGCACGCUGCGCCUUGGUCUCUUUCAUACGACAGCCGUGAUAAUGUUACAUUUUAUAUCAACUACUCAUGUUGAAUUUGUCUAAUUUAUGUAUUGGGGCAGCCUGUUCUGUCCUCAGUAUUUCAGACCAAAGCAAGACAAUGUUUAAAGCUGUGGAUCUACAAACAGGUAUCACACUACCCGGCAAUACAUGGAUGUGUGCACGGCACUCAUUCAAAAGUACUCCUCGUUGAGAGACCAGAUGGGGAAGGGAUAUUUCUCAAAGUCACUGCAGCCAUUUUCCCCCUCCCCUACCUCAAAGAUGAUCCAAGUGGGCUGAAUGUCACACGACAGUACAAAGUUAGUCGUUAUACAGUGUAAGGUGUGCUCAGUUGUUAACUUACGGUUUGAAAUAUGACUUGAGUAACCUUUAAUAUAUAUUUUUAAUUCCAUCACCUACCAUACCAUAAGGAUAGAGGGGAAUCCCUUUGCGAAUGAGAACCACGUCCAACUCUUCCUGGAUGGACAGGAGCUAAUAACUGAAGAGCCGGAGGACAUCUCCAUGGGGAUGGCAAUGGAGAUCCGUUUCCUUUUUAAAUUACAGCUAAUGUCAGGGUUAAUUCAACAAGAGAAAAGCUGCUAAAUAGACAGUUGAAAAUAAAAAGAAGAGAGAUGUAAUGUUUGAGAAAGAUUUGGUGAAGUGGUAACAGAGCACUGCAAGAAAUGCUUCAUUCUGCAGGAGUUAUUAUUAAGGCUAUGUGAAAGGAUAUAGACCGACAGUCAGUGUCCAGAUUUCAGUUAUCAUUUAACCUAUCUGAACAGUAGGUUACAGUUCCCAUGACGUGCCAUAGGACUAUUUGAAGUCCCAGUCAGUUGACUGUUGAAUUUCUAUAGCACAGGAGCUCUUCGGAGCCCUCUACAUUGUUAAAAAAUGUGUAUGGCGAAAUAGUAUGGAGCUCAAUUUGGCCUCUGCAUGCCUUCAGAGGCUCCACAAUUGCAUCAAACCCUCCAUAUGAAGCCUCCGACCACAUUUACG
rnacentral:lncRNA from 1 species